ACGUAAGUAAUCUACCCUCGGGCGGGGAAUAACAACCGGAAACGGUUGCUAAUACCGCAUAAUGCAGCGGCACCGCAAGGUGACAGUUGUUAAAGGAGCAAUCCACCUGAGGAGGAGCUUGCGGCAGAUUAGCUUGUUGGUAAGGUAAUGGCUUACCAAGGCUACGAUCUGUAUCCGGUCUAAGAGGACGGUCGGACACACUGACACUGAAUAACGGGUCAGACUCCUACGGGAGGCAGCAGUCGGGAAUUUUGGGCAAUGGGGGAAACCCUGACCCAGCAACGCCGCGUGAAGGAUGAA
rnacentral:rRNA from 1 species